rnacentral:rRNA from 2 species
GUAUGGGAGGGAUCAAGAGGGUGCUAGACUCGGCCUGAAGUAUUUAUUGAAUGUUGUCACACUGCCCAUAGAGGGUGUAAGGCCCGUAAGGCCGGCGUCUAGAUUACCUCGCUGGUUCCUCUCGAGAGUCGGGUUGCUUGAAAGUGCAGCCCUAAGUAGGUGGUAAACUCCAUCUAAGGCUAAAUAUUCCCACGAGACCGAUAGCGAACAAGUACCGCGAGGGAAAGUUGAAAAGAACUUUGAAAAGAGAGUUCAAUAGAGCGUGAAACUACCACGAGGCUAAAGCGAGUGAGCGUACGUAUCCGAACGGUUUGAUUCAGUCCGCCCGAGCACGAUGAGCAGUGGGGGGUCGUAAUACGUCAUUAACGGAUCUCCCGAAAGGAUCCGAGCUUUACGCUCGGCCUCUAGGGUGACCGGCGUAUCCUCCGCUUUGCUCUGUAGGGGGACGCAUUUCCGGCCGAAGUAGGGCGUCGCGGCCGUUUCGGGGGUGUCUAAGACACGGGGGUCUUGGAAUCCGCAUCUUCUCGUCCCGGCGCGCUCUACCGCCUCGCCUUCGCGGAGGGGCGGCAUCACGCCGGGGUCGCGAGUCGAGCGGGGCCGCCUCGUUGAUCUGACGGCCUC